ACCCAGAACCAAAAUGAUCUACAAAUACCAGAUCCAGUUUGACCUUGGCUGCUAAGAAGAGUCAAGCCUGGUUAGUACUUGGAUGGGAAGCUGCCAAUGGAUACCAGCUGCUGUAAGCC
rnacentral:rRNA from 11 species